rnacentral:rRNA from 1 species
GGGUUGUGAGGUUAAGCGACUAAGCGUACACGGUGGAUGCCCUGGCAGUCAGAGGCGAUGAAGGGCGUGCUAAUCUGCGAUAAGCGCCGGUAAGGUGAUAUGAACCGUUAUAACCGGCGAUACCCGAAUGGGGAAACCCAGUGUGACUCGUCACACUAUCAUUAACUGAAUCCAUAGGUUAAUGAGGCGAACCGGGGGAACUGAAACAUCUAAGUACCCCGAGGAAAAGAAAUCAACCGAGAUUCCCCCAGUAGCGGCGAGCGAACGGGGAGGAGCCCAGAGCCUGAAUCAGCAUGUGUGUUAGUGGAAGCGUCUGGAAAGGCGCGCGAUACAGGGUGACAGCCCCGUACACAAAAGCGCAUGUGCUGUGAGCUCGAUGAGUAGGGCGGGACACGUGGUAUCCUGUCUGAAUAUGGGGGGACCAUCCUCCAAGGCUAAAUACUCCUGACUGACCGAUAGUGAACCAGUACCGUGAGGGAAAGGCGAAAAGAACCCCGGCGAGGGGAGUGAAAAAGAACCUGAAACCGUGUACGUACAAGCAGUGGGAGCCCCACCACUAAGCCAGUGGUGAACUCCACAUACGCAUCCUUUGCUGAAGGCAAUGGUUAACGGAGCGAAAGCGACGUUCAACCGCAAAACAAGCAGAGGGGGCUUAGUGGUGGGGUGACUGCGUACCUUUUGUAUAAUGGGUCAGCGACUUAUAUUCUGUAGCAAGGUUAACCG